UGUCUCAUGGUGUAAUUGGUAGCACUACAGUUUUUGGUACUGUUAGUCUAGGUUCGAGUCCUAGUGAGACAA
rnacentral:tRNA from 1 species